rnacentral:rRNA from 1 species
GUACGCGUGGGAUCUACCCUUGACUACGGAAUAACGCAGGGAAACUUGUGCUAAUACCGUAUGUGUCCUUCGGGAGAAAGAUUUAUCGGUCAAGGAUGAGCCCGCGUUGGAUUAGCUAGUUGGUGGGGUAAAGGCCUACCAAGGCGACGAUCCAUAGCUGGUCUGAGAGGAUGAUCAGCCACAUUGGGACUGAGACACGGCCCAAACUCCUACGGGAGGCAGCAGUGGGGAAUAUUGGACAAUGGGCGCAAGCCUGAUCCAGCCAUGCCGCGUGAGUGAUGAAGGCCCUAGGGUUGUAAAGCUCUUUCACCGGAGAAGAUAAUGACGGUAUCCGGAGAAGAAGCCCCGGCUAACUUCGUGCCAGCAGCCGCGGUAAUACGAAGGGGGCUAGCGUUGUUCGGAAUUACUGGGCGUAAAGCGCACGUAGGCGGAUCGAUCAGUCAGGGGUGAAAUCCCAGGGCUCAACCCUGGAACUGCCUUUGAUACUGUCGAUCUGGAGUAUGGAAGAGGUGAGUGGAAUUCCGAGUGUAGAGGUGAAAUUCGUAGAUAUUCGGAGGAACACCAGUGGCGAAGGCGGCUCACUGGUCCAUUACUGACGCUGAGGUGCGAAAGCGUGGGGAGCAAACAGGAUUAGAUACC